AAGUCGUAACAAGGUUUCCGUAGGUGAACCUGCGGAAGGAUCAUUAUUGAGUUUAAUUGAAACAGGUUGUAGCUGGCCUCUUGUUAGGCAUUGUGCACGCCUGGAUCAAUUUCCCACUCUUCAACCACUGUGCACUUUUUGUAAGAUUGGCUGGAAGAUUUUUCUGCUGCUUCGGUAGCAGCAAAGAUUUGAAGGCCUUUCUUAUGUUUACCACAAACACCUCAGUUUUAAGAAUGUCAUUGUUGUUUUUAUAACAUCUUUAUAUACAACUUUCAGCAACGGAUCUCUUGGCUCUC
rnacentral:misc_RNA from 1 species